rnacentral:tRNA from 1 species
GGGGAUUUAGCUGAGUGGCACAAGCACUUGCCUGGCAAGCAAGAGAUUCCUGAGCUAAAAAGUUCAAUUCACCA